rnacentral:lncRNA from 1 species
AUAAUUGAGUCAUUAGUUGGAGCUUACUGGGGUUAUGUUUCUAUGAUGAAAAAAGCGUACAGAACUAAAAUAAUGCAAAGAAGGCUAUCAUUUCAUAGUUGACUUGACCCUUCUACCGUUAAUGCAUUACACAAAAAAAUAUUAUAAUACAUUCAAUCAAAAAACGAAUUACAUAAAACAAAAAGUUUCCAUCGCCAAGUACAUCAUUUACACCACUUGUAUCUCAUAUUUUAAACAAAAAAAACAAUUCCAGAAUCACACUAGAAUAAACAAAGCAAAAGAAUAAAAAUGUCAAUUUGACAACAUACUUGUAGGGUUAUAUUAUGUGGAUUUGGUACAUAUAUUACCAAAAAGAAUAUUUUUCAAGUAUAAGUUGAGUUGGCCAAUCAAAUUUCAGCUUCUUGGGAAGCUUGUUUUUCAGGAGCAGAGAUGGACAAUUUUCUUCCUUUUGUAGAUUCUUUGCCAUUUGAAAUGGAUGGAUUUUUAACUGAGACAACUAGUUUCAUAUGUCCCAAAUUUGUAGUUUUAGUUAUCUUGGCAAUUUGGUUGGAGUGUGAGAUUUUUGGAUUUACGGGGUUUUGAACUCUGGUCUCCCAUGGUCUAAUUGCGAUCCAACGCUCCAUCCAACUCCAACCCCAGCUAUCCUUGCCAAGAUCAUAGUAUGCUUGUCCAAAAUAUCGAUUUGAAUUGGCUCUCCACUAAAACAUGCAUAUUGUUAUAAUCGAAAUAACCAAAUGUUGUGUGAAAGUUUAAAAAGUGAAUCCUGACUGACGAUAAAAGUAAGUUUAGUUGGCCAAUCAAAUGUCAGCUUCUGGGGAAGCUUGAUUCUCAGGAAUGGACAACUUUCUUCCUCUUGAAAUGGAUGGAUUUUUAACUGAGACAACUAGUUUCAUAGGUCCCAAAUUUGUAGUUUUAGUUAUCUUGGCAAAUUGGUUGGAGUGUGAGAUUUUUGGAUUUACGGGGUUUUGAACUCUGGUCUCCCAUGGUCUAAUUGCGAUCCAACGCUCCAUCCAACUCCAACCCCAGCUAUCCUUGCCAAGAUCAUAGUAUGCUUGUCCAAAAUAUCGAUUUGAAUUGGCUCUCCACUAAAAUAUACAUAGUGUUAUGAUCGAAAUAACCAAAUGUUAUGCGAAAGUUAAAAAAGUGAAUCCCGGUGGCUGUAAAAGAAAAAUAUACUAUACAGACACAAAUUAACCUAUAUCUACGUAUUGAGAGGAGCAAUCAAUUAUUUCUAAAAUGAUAGAUAGAAGAGUGUUGUCAUAG